AUGGCCGCUUCUCAGCUCACCAUCCUCUCCGUCCUCGCGCUCCUGGCCGUGGCCGCCACCGCUCAGGCGCCCGGAGCGGCCCCCGCGGCAGCGCCCCAGGCCCCGCCUCCACCGCCGGCGACCCCGCCCCCGGCAAUGGCGCCCCCUACCCCGGCGCCGGUGUCCCCGCCCCCUACCGCGGCCCCGGCGCCCGCGCCCACCGUCGCCCCCACGCCCUCCGCCACCGCGCCGGCGCCCGCCGACUCCCCGAUGUCCUCCCCUCCGGCGCCCACCCCGGACAUGUCGCCCUCGCCCACCGCCGAGCCCGCCACCCCGGGCAGCGGCGCCGCUGGUCUCCGCCCCGCCUUCGUGCUGGCUGCCGCCGCCGCCGCCAUCUACGUCUUCUAG
rnacentral:rRNA from 1 species